rnacentral:lncRNA from 1 species
GCUGUCUGUCCCUCUUCCAACCACAAAAGCGUCCCCAAACCCCUCCAGGGUGGCCAUGAUUCCCACUCUCACCCCUGUCCCCAAUUAUCCCAUCCCUUUUGUUCAUUUCCUGGAAAACAUUAAUUAUCCAUUGAGAUGCACUAAAUUGUGGUUCUUUCUCACUAGACUGUGGGUCCCCGCAGACAGGGUUUUUGUCCCUGCGGAGCCCCGUGGUGGUCUCCCGGGCUCGGGCCUCCCAGAGGUCCCCAAAUACGGUCUACGUGGCAGCCGGGGAGGUAGAGAGGAUGUCUCUGGGGCGCCUCAGGGACUUUCCCUGUCCCGCUGGGAAAGCGUGAUCUCACCCGGUUCCUCCCUCCUCGCCGGACGCGGAAGGGGCGGGCGGAGGCCGUGCGCCUGGGGCUACAGGCGCGCCCUCCGCGCCCUGCCAUCCGCGGGCAUCGCCACCAGGCCAUCAGGCCACCAACAUCCGCCCCGAGGACCCGAGCAGUGCGGCCGGUCGCCCCCGCGACCCCAGGUCAGUUCUACAGCCCCCAGGGGUCCUGGUGCCCGUGAGCAGGGUGGAGACACCGGGCCUGCAGCGCAGCGGGGCGGCGUGCGGAACAUGACUUCAUCAUCCAGUGUUUCUCCCGCAGCCGCUGGA